rnacentral:tRNA from 2 species
GGGCAAGUAGCUCAGCCGGUUAGAGCGCCACGUUGACAUCGUGGAGGUCGGAGGUUCAAGUCCUCUCUUGCCCACCA